rnacentral:rRNA from 1 species
GAUGAACGCUGGCGGCGUGCCUAAUACAUGCAAGUCGUGCGAAUGGAUUAAGAGCUUGCUCUUAUGAAGUUAGCGGCGGACGGGUGAGUAACACGUGGGUAACCUGCCCAUAAGACUGGGAUAACACAGGGAAACCGGGGCUAAUACCGCAUCACAUUUUGAACCGCAUGGUUCGAAAUUGAAAGGCGGCUCCUGCUGUCACUUAUCGAUGGACCCCGGUCGGAUUAGCUAGUUGGUGAGGUAACGACUCACCAAGGCAACGAUGCGUAGCCGACCUGAGAGGGUGAUCGGCCACACUGGGACUGAGACACGGCCCAGACUCAUACGGGAGGCAGCAAUAGGGAAUCUUCCGCAAUGGACGAAAGUCUGACGGAGCAACGCCGCGUGAGUGAUGAAGGCUUUCGGGUCGUAAAACUCUGUUGUUAGGGAAGAACAAGUGCUAGUUGAAUAAGCUGACACCUUGACGGUACCUAACCAGAAAGCCACGGCUAACUACGUGCCAGCCGCCGCAGUAA